GCUGGGGUAGCUCAGUCGGUCAGCAUGAGACUCUUAAUCUCAGGGUCAUGGGUUUGAUACUCAUGUUGAGCA